AAAGCAUUAAAAACGUUGUUCUCUAAUUACUUAUUGGGUGCGUUUGGUUCGCGCUAUCUUUUAAAGAUUCAUAGUAAUCCAAUGAGAAUAAAAAAAUAUGACGGUGUUUGGCUAAACGCACUAAGUAAUUUAGUUGGUAAUAUUGGAUUCACUUGGGAAUAAGAUUCACCCCAAAGUACUAAUCUCAUUCCCUUGAGGGGGAUGGGUAUCCUCAUAUUAAUGGAUUGGGGUAAUCAUAAUAUGUCUAAUCUUUUUCUUUCUUCAUACCCGCCGGCUAAUUGAUAUUAUUUUUCUUUACACUCUAACCUUAUAUCUCUCUCUAAACUUAUUUUUCUCUCUAAAAUUCAACUUUUUUUU
rnacentral:lncRNA from 1 species